rnacentral:rRNA from 1 species
AUUGAACGCUGGCGGCAGGCCUAACACAUGCAAGUCGAGCGAGCGGCGGACGGGUGAGUAAUGUCUGGGAAACUGCCUGAUGGAGGGGGGUAACGACAGGAAACGGUAGCUAAUACCGCAUACCAUCAGAUGUGCCCCGAUGGGAUUAGCUCGUGGGGGGGGUAACGUCUCACCGAGGCGACGCGUCCUAGCUGGUCUGAGAGGAUGACCAGCCACACUGGAACUGAGCCACGGUCCAGACUCCUACGGUAGGCAGCAGUGGGGAAUAUUGCACAAUGGGCGCAAGCCUGAUGCAGCCAUGCCGCGUGUGUGAAGAAGGCCUUCGGGUUGUAAAGCACUUUCAGCGGGGAGGCGUUACCCGCAGAAGAAGCACCGGCUAACGCCGUGCCAGCAGCCGCGGUAAUAC